GUUGGCCGGGUCCCUCGGCGGGAGAGGGGCGGGGCGGCCGGCCGCGCGCUCCUGACCGUGCGAAUGGGACGUAAGUGAGUUGGCGGGAGCCUGGGUGGCCCGGUCGGUCCGGCCUGGGACUCGUGGUACCGGCCCAGGUCACGAUGUCAGGGCGCUGAGAUGCAGCCGCGACCUGGCUGGUGGGCAGCGCCGACGCCGUUGGGGAGUCUCCCUCUCUCUCAAAGAAAGAAAGAAAACCUAAAAAAGGCGGGGGGGGGGGGGGGCGGCGCCUACAGCUCAGGGUCCUGGGAUCCUACAGCUCAGGGUCCUGGGAUCCUACAGCUCAGGGUCCUGGGAUCCUACAGCUCGGUCCUGGGAUGCUACAGCUCAGGGUCCUGGGAUCCUACAGCUCAGGGUCCUGGGAUCGAGCCCGGCGUGGGCUCCCUGCUUGGCUUUUUCCUCUGCCACUCCCCCUGUUCCUGUUCCCUCUGUCGCUGUGUCUCUGUCAAAUAAGUAAAUAAACUCUUAAAACUAUGAGAGUAGCAUCAUGGCUCCUCCAAAAGAAGUCGUAGUUGGAGGAAAGGGAGAAAGUGUUCGCCGUGCUGGGUUUCCAGACAACUGCCAUGCGCGUUGUCACAAUAGCCCUUCAAGGUACUCACGUGCAAGAAAGGGACCCCAAAGUCACCGGAGGCCGGCAGGACACAGGAAAGGAAAGCGGAGUGUGCGGAAGGCGGGCGCGGGGCCCCGCAGGGUUGAAUCACCAGUGAGGCAAGCGCGGUGCCUGGGACGGGCGUGGUCAGCAAGCACCUGCCCAGACGGUGAGGGACUGGACUUUGACGCCGCGUGGGCGUCCCGUUGUGAAGAGCGGGGCCCUGAAGGCGGGCGGGACCGCAUCGUGGCAGGCUGGCCAUUGCCAGGGUCAGGACUACUGGAGAAGCAACUCUCCUCUCUGGGCAAGGCCCGCCUCCAAGCCCCCUCCAAGGACGCCAAGUUUGUCGGCGAUGGAAGACGAGUCGGCACUAAGAAACUCGGGUCCUGCACCGCGCGGUGGGAGCAGUCACCAGAGAAAGGCCUGCGUGGCAGACCCGCUGCGGGAAAGCUGGUGCGGGAACAGCUGUGAGGUGUGUUGUCACACGUGGCCACCGGCCACUGGGCCCUCCUAGCCGAAGAACAGUGGGUUGAUGGGCAGCGAUACUGAAGCGCCUGUGGACAGUGCCCUGAACAAGUGGGAGCUGGAGGGAAAGAGCACUGGAGUAUGAGUUAGGAGACCCCGUUUCUAGGCCUGUCACCUUGGACAAGUCACUUCAGCUGUCUGGAGUGUUUCUCCUCGUACGUUAAAGGACGUGCUGGCAACCAGAACUCACAGAAGCAUGCGCCUCCGCGCCUUCUGAAGAUCUAGUUAAAUCGGCUCAUACAGGUGAAGACACAGGAUUUCCAUCACUGGGACGUGGCUUCCUCCGCUGCCCCACGGUGCGUUCCCGGUGCUGGGACUCCCGUGGUUGAGCUGGCGCACACGCGCGGAAAGUGCGGAUGACCCAGGCCCCCGAGCCCCGCGGUGCCCGAGUCGGGGCCCAGGAGAGGUCUUUCGGGCUCUAGAGUUCUGUGAUCCGAUGGUGUUCUGUGGACUGAGAAGAUGGAGCCGUCUGGUCUGCACCGUGGAGGGAUUUCAUCAUGCCGGCUUGCAGGCCGGGUCACAGAAGCAGUGGUUGGACGGGUUCUCAGGGAACCUGCAGGAGGACACGCUGAGGACAAGCAACAGCCGGUUAUCCCGUCUGGGAAGGAGGAGCCAUGCUGAGUGACGGAGGAGGAGUGUGAGAAGCAGGCGAGAACAGCUUGGGUGUCCAGUUCCGAUGCCCAGGAGAGCCCGGCAGGCUCGCUCGCCCCGCUGGGUGGCGCUGCCUUACGUGUGACAGGCAGUGACAACCACAGAGCCCGGCCCAGCCGGAGCAGCCUGCUGUGUCUUCGGGUUUCUGAGGUGAAGCUGGAAAUCCAGAUUUUUAUUUGAAACCUCAUGAUUUAACCAAGAAGUGUUCCAUUGGUGUUUAUUGAACCGAAUGGGAACAUGUUUUCAAGAAAGGUGGGCCGUCAGCCUGUAAUCAUCAGAUUUACAGAGAGAUCAAAGUCUGUGUUGGCCAAGCGAAGGCCCCGGGACUGUAAGGGAAGGAGCGUGCCAGCAGCUUCGGAGGCAGUUUGAGCAGGGAGCGCUGGGAGCACGUCGCUGUAGUUCCGGAGGAGGAGGAGGGUUGUGCUGUUGUCACACACAGACAACAGACACAUUCUGUGCAGAUCACGCGCUGGGGCACUUUGGCAGCAGAGGGAAGAGGUAUGGAGCACGGGGUCCUGGGGACGAGUGCCACUUAGAGUUCUUGAGAUGAGAAAGGCCCGCGUGUUUGUAGGCAGGCGGCCACACCGGCAGCUCCCGCGGGGCUGGGCGGUUCAGUGAGGAGCCCAGACAAGCGCUCAUCUGCAGGCCUGGGGCCCUGGGGUUGGGGGGGGGAAGGGGCUGCGGGGCAGGACGGGGACUGUGCGACAGGACUGGGGCUGUGGGCCAUCUCCCAGCCCUCACCCUCCGCUGGCUGUGCUCCUUCGGCUCACUCUGGUUUGCCGGGGACUCUGUCUUCCGCUGCCUUUCCUCCUUGACCCUGUCAGGGAGGCGUCUGUGCCCGGGGUUUAAGCCACCUCGAUGCUAGUGACUGAUUCUAGGUCUGGGACCGAAGCGUCCUUCCGGAGCCUCGCAUCUGUGUGUCCAGCUUCACCAGUGGCUCGGUACCUUUAUGAAGGAAACCGGUCCUUCCUCCUUAAUUCUUCCUCCUGGUACCGGUCACGGUGCUUUCGCAGUCGUCCAAGCCACAUACAUGUUUUCACGGCUCUCCCCCCCCCUCCCCACACGUGUACGUGUGAGUAAGAACACACUUGUAUUUUGUGUACUCUGUUUCUUUUGACUUACUACUGUCCUACCACUGUAUCAUGUCAAUAAAUUUUUUUUUUACAUUUUUA